GGCUGAGGAAAGAAAACCAGCCUGUUUGAAACAGCCAGCCAGCCUGAGAAAUCAGAAGGGUUUUGCUCAACCAGGUGAGAAUGUAAACAUUUGUUAAUGACAGAGCACAUCAGCACCGAAUGGUGUUUAAACACUGCCUUAAGGAUGGUUUGUUCCAGAGUACAGAACAACCGGGCUGCAGUCACAAAAUACAGCAAACUUCAAAGUUUAUAAACUACAGAAAUUGCCCAAAAGUACAAACCUGUAGAAAUGAUGGAUGGAGAGAAGUAGUACUAAUUUCCAAACUUCAUCCCAACCAGCAUAGCUGAGCUCCAGGAGUCAAAGAGGGGAAUAAAGAACAGGGAACCUUCCCUUCAAGAAGUCAGAAAUUCAGGCUUUUGUUUGUGUCCAACUGAUGGGGUCAGGACAGGUGAAUUCACCUGUGAGACUCCAGCACCUUUUCUUACUGCUUUUUAAACCUUUUCCAAAUGGCUUCUGUUUCUCAGUAUCUGUUCUUCUCAUUUCCUUGUCCUACCAGGAAAACACUUGACCCUUGGUCUUACCCUAAGUCCUGGACUAUGCCUGUUCCAGGUGAUGCCAGGUUUUGCUCCAGCAGGCUGUGGCACACAUUGUCCGGCUGUAAUCGCAGCUUGGAACCAGAGCAAAUGAGGCAGAGCCUCUGCAGGCUGCUCAGCAGUUUCAACAAUACAAUUAAAAUGUAAAAAAAAAAAACCAAACCAACAAAAAACAAACAAAAAAAAAAAACACCCCACCAAAAUCUGUACUACCAGCCCCUUCUCAGAAUUUCUACACAGGGAUGAAACUCCAAGUGAGAGAGUGCAACUGUACUAAAAUGAAGCCUUGUUUUUCCAUAGAUCCCUCCCAGGCAAUGAUCAGGAUCCUGGAGAGAGGUCCACGCCAUACAAACAGCUCCUUCAGACUUCAAUGCACGUGGGUACUGCUUAAAGCAGAGCAGCACAGCAAUGAAACUCCGUUCUGUACUGACACCUUCUACAAACACCACUGGGAACCAGCAGCAGCAACAGCCACCUUCACCUCCACCAGUGUUUAACCUGCCAGGAGAGAGCCAGAAAUUUUUCACCUCCUGUGCUUGCCAUCCUGCUUCCCUUCUCCAACCUAAUCCAGAGCCAGGGCUUCUCAGGAGGAUUGUCCUCUUCAUCCCUCCCUGACAAGGUGAGUGCCCUUCUCAGAUCCCAGCAAGGCUGUGACUAAACCCAGGAUCCCCCCCUGCCUGCACCCUAAUUCUGCUGGUGCCAGCAGUGUCCUCUUUCAAAUGAAGAAAACAGAUUAUCCAUUGGAGACACUUAAGAAUAAAGCCAAAACUGAGGUGCACUGGUGCUCUCAGAUUUAGACACGAGUUCCCCAGACGCUGUGUUAAAGCUUUUUCCAUUAAAUGUGCAAGGACAGACACAAAUUUGGGCAAAGACUCAGCACGUGCUGAGAGAGAAAACCCAACUGUCCCUGGCUGUGGCAGCUCUGGAGCUGUGUUUGCUUCACUGCUUUGCAAUCAGGUUGGUCUGUCACUUAUAGAGAUAGAAAAGCAAUGUGCCAAACUUGCUGUGGACAGGAACUAUGCUGCUUGCUUGAGUUUUGAAAUUGUGAGUAAAUUUUGGAAGUAUAAUCACUAUAUCUGCCUCUAGGGAGAGAGAUUUUCCUCACCCCCUAUUUACAGAUUGUUAUAUACAAAUGCACAUAACUUCAUGAAGGACAACAGGAAGUCAAAAGCAACAUCCUGUGUUAAAUUAGAUUUUUGUUUUUCUUGUGCCCAUUUAUUUGGAGUUAAACCUGCCUUUCCCAGCAUGCUUUAGGGUUUCAGCUAUUUGGGAAUCAUUUCAGCUGACUUUUUACAGUGGAAACGUGAAGGUGGGGAUGAGUGACCAACACCCUGGGAAGGGCUGUGGGUGUGCCUGGGAUGGGAGCAAAUGGCCAGGGCUUAUCUUCUCCUGGUCUGAGGCCGGGUUUGGCAGCACCACAACAUUCCAGUGCAGGAUCAGCGGCCCAGGGAAGGGCUGCACAGCUGCCCUGAGCCCAUCAGCAGCAGUGGGCAGGUGGAACUCACCCAUGUCCACAUUCAGAUCCCUUUGUGUGUCACUCCUGCUCAUUUCUAGGCCCUGAGAGCUCAUUUCAGCUGCUCAGAGACAGCACUAACUGGUCUGUGGAUUUAAGGAAGCAGCCAGACUUUGGGAAUGCGUGUUGCCAUUCCAGCCUUGUCCAAUGAGGGGACACAGGGGGACAGGAGGGGACAGGGAGUUGUCACCGGGCCUGUGCUCUUGGGCUGCAGGGGACACCUGCACUGAGGAGGAAAUGGAAAUGGGGCUGCCUUAGGUCACUCCCCAUCCCUGAAGUGCCCAAGGCCAGGCUGGACAGGAUUUGAACAACUCGGCCUUGUGAAAGGCGUCCCUGCCCACGAUGGGGGAUGGAACAGGAUGAGCUUCAAUGUCCUUUCCUUAAACCCAAACCCCUGCAGGGCUCCAAAGCCUUAUUCCUGUGGGGCAGGCUCCAGGCCUUGGGGCUGGCCUCUCCUGACUGUGUGCCACGCCUGCUCUGCCAGCGAGGGGUGGGAGCAGGGACAGCCCUCAGAGAAAACUUUGGGGGUCUUUGAAUGCAGCCUUGUCGUACAUCCAGCCCCGUGUGAAUCCUGCUCUGAUUGCAUGCAUGGAAAAUUUCAGUAUAAAAUAUAUAGUUAUAAAAAAAAUACUUCAUGCAAAAUUAAAACACCUUUCCCAGCGGGAUAUGGUAUCAUUGUCAACCCUUCCCAACAGUGUUCAAGGAAUUGUCACUCUGAUGGCAGCUGGACCCCAAGGGGAGCUCUGCUGCCUCCGGCCUGGGCCGGGAAUAAUUGCUUUCAUUCCCUUUUUUGCUGCACUACUUAGGGCUAAGAGCUGAAAUAAAGCAGAGAGACUUUAAUUAGCAGAAUCAAUCCUUUCCUGGCGGCGCUUCAUGAUUUCUUGGAGCUCUGACUCCCCUCUGCUUUUCUGGAAUGAAAACAAAACAGGAAGUUUGGAUUUGAAUUUCAAGCUGUAGUUAAAUGACAGUAUUUAAUGAAUGCUGUAGGAGUAGAGCUUGUUUCAAAGGGAUUGGUGAUAUCAGUAAAAAGCAGAUUAAUUAGUGGAUACAGGAGAAUCUUAUGGGUUUGGGGCCUUUUAGCUUAAAAGACACUUCAGAAUUCUUACGUGUAUUUUAUUGCUUGUGUAGGUUUGGUUGCAUUUCCCCCCCCCUCCCCCAUUGUGUUUCUUAAUAUGUUUUUUUAAUGAUCUAUAUGACACUGCUGGUACAGCCCCCCAUUCCAUCAGGAAUUAUCCAGAAAAACACUUACCUCCAGCUGGUUUUUCUUCACCGUGAUCUUGCUGUACACUCUGUUUCCCUCAUCACCACACACCUUCUUCAGCUCCUCUCUGUUGAGGGAGAAGAGCUGAGCUCCGGUGAGGAUGCCCAGGUGUUCCACGGUCCUGGGGAGACACAAAGUGGGGAGAUGAUGGUUGUGCUGCAGGUGGCCCCAUGCCAGAGGUGAGGAGUGGGAGACGGGAGGCUGGGAGCUACACUGGGAUCGUAUCACAGGGCCCUGGGGCUGUGCCAGGGUGGCAGCUGUGAUUCAAGUGGCAUUUCAGGCUGUGGGUUUAGUUUGUUGAUUAUUUUUCUCCAAGAAAAUGUUUCUAGGAAAAAAUGGGGGUGAGUUUGGGCUCUGAACAUCCUGGUUAUAGAGCCUGGAUUUAAUAGGGUUGAACUCUAAUUUACAACACAGGCUCUGUAAGUAAAUCCCAGUGACUUGUCCCAGGUGAGAUGGUGCCAGCAGCCUCCCCAGCUCCUUCUCCAGGGAAGGACGAGCGUUUCAUGUGGCAAUAGAGCAAAUCUUACUCUUUGCUGAAUGACUUGGCCUCCAGCCAGGCUUUGACUUCUUCAGUGCUGGAUUCAAAGCAGCUCGUCGUUCAGCUCAUCCAUUUGGUGAAUAAGUUCUGUAGAAACAGGUAGGGAAUGAAAUAAAAUCUUCAGUCAAAAAUCCCAUUAAAUGUGUUUGUGGGGAAAUUGGAAAGAAAAUGGGGGUGUGGCUCAGCACUUUUAUUAACUCUGUCAAUACAGCCCAGGAAAGUGCUUACUUUUGUAUUUGAGCUCUAAAGAACAAGAUUAAGUGCUCUGUUGGAGCAAUAGGGUGAGCAGUGACAUUUGGACCUUCAGAAUACCAUCAGGAACAAAUGUGAACCGGGAGAUCGCCCCAGUUUGGGAGGCUGGAGGGCCCUAGAGGGGAGUGGGGGAUCUGCCUUUCCCCCCCCCCCCCGAGCCAAGAGUCUCCCUUGAGCUUUUGAAACUUCACUUUCUCUUUGGGAAAAACUGAUUUCUGCAGUUCUGCAUGAUGAAGGAGAGAAGGGAUCUAAAAAGCUGCUUUAUGGUUUCUUGCAGUGUGACUGGGGAGAGAACCUCCUUUUCAUCUGUUUUGUGAACAAAUUUACAGUGGGACUGGUUGUUUCUCAUGUGCCUAACUCACCCUGUUCCUCAUGCCCCAUUCAAAGGAUAUAAAACCCUCAACACCCACCAGCUUCUGCUCCAGGUGUGCUCAGGGGUGUAAACUGAUCUGGCAGAGUCUUUGCUCCCCGUGGUGCACUCAGAUGGUGACAAGGGACAGGGUCUCAUUCCCUGAGGGCUGGUGUUGCUGUUGGGGUUUUGUUUCAGUUUGUCAUCUUCCUGGGUUUGAGUUAUUUAGUUCCCUUUGGGCUGGUGAAAUAAGGGAACUGCCCUGCAAACUUCACAGCAAGAGGGGAAAAUCCCAGCCCCCAUGAGGCACCAGACGUUGAGGGGAUGGACUUUGUGUUUCCAAGAACCAUGUUCCCAUUUUUCUGUGCCCCUGUGCUGCCAUUUAUUUUCCUCCCAUCACCCCUUGGCUGUUGCCUGAUGUGGAAGGACAGAUCUGUGUGAAUCUGCAAUUCACAGUUGGGAUUGAGACCUUUUCAGUGCUCUCUGCUACUUCUAAUCAGUGAUUUGCUGAUCUCAGAGCUGCAGGUUUUGCUCCACAGCGGAACAGAAGUAGCAGGAAGCACAAACUGGGAGUGAGGAACACGCUCAUGAUGAAAUGAGCUUGAAGGUCCCUUCCAUCCCAGGCCAUCCUGUGAUUCUGGGAAACUCCAGUGACACUUCAUCCAGUGUCACUUUCCCUGUGAAACUCCUGAGGAUUGUGGAGAAUAACUCGGUGUUAGGAACAGAUUUGUGUCCAGCAGGGGAUGAGCAGAGCACGACAGGGAGUUGUUGUCCUCCCUCCUCACUGUGGUUAAGAUGGGACCGAUGUGUUGAGCUGAGGAAGUGACAGAGCCCAGCACCGGCAGCCUGUUCCAGCUUUGGAUUUGAGCAAAGCUCCAUGUCACUGCUGAGACAGCAGCAGGGAAAUGGAGUUGGUGCUUGCUGGUAUCCUGAGCUCUCUCCUGCCCCUGGGAAGAGGAGGGGACACACCUUUCCCAGGAGUGGUCACGCACCUCCAGGAUUUCAUCCUUCAGCACUGAGAGCUCGUUGGCAUUUCGCGCAGUGAAAUCGUAGCGGAUUUUGGCAAAUCUCCUGGGCACGGCCGCCCCCUGGGCCUCAAAAUUCCUGCAGGAGAGAAAAACUGGAGAUUUAGUGGAGGCCCAUCUCAAAAUAGAACAAAAUGUGGUUCACUAGUGGAACAGGAGUGGUGGUGGCUGGGUGUUUGCGUUUGGAGGGGCAGAGUCCCUCUGCUCCUCUUUUCAGGAAGAUUUUCAGCCCUUGUUUCACUGAAAUCCUCUGGGCUGGGAACAAGCAAAUAAACCAAAGCUGUUGGGGUUUGAUAUGGGGCCUUCCUUGGGGGCUGUGAGGCAGCUCCGGGAAGGGUGGAAAGAAAUGCUGCUUUAGGGCCUGGGGAGGCUGACACGGCAGGACCCAAAGGCUCCAAUUGCAGCUCCUGGGACAGAUGAGGUGUGAAACCCUCCCUGUCCUGCCCAGUGGAAACAACUGCCCAGAUGCCACAGCAGGGAGCAGCUGGGGAAAGUGGAAUUGAAAAUCCAAGCAGGCAGAACACACUGGAAAUCUUUGGGGUUUUUAUCAGGCAAUGCUGAGCUGCUGGCACAGAAUUCUGCAGGUUCCCAGGAAAAGUGAAUUUGGAUGUUUCUAUGCUAAGAUGUAUUUGGGCACAGGGGAAGACAAAUGCAUUGAUGUGUUAGCUUGGGACACCAGAAUAUACGGUUUUCAAAGCUGAAUUGGCUUUUUGUUUAAAGAGAGACAAAAUGAAUAUGGUAGAUUGUUGAAAAUGGUGAAAAAGUGGAAUGAAAGGUUCUUUUUGACCCGAACUGAAAACUUUUACUUUGUUUUGUUUUGUGUUGCUGGCUUAGGGAAAUUUAGCAGAUCUCAUCUUUUUCUUCUCCAGAUGAGUGAAGUGUUAUCUUUUUAAUU